CCCUUAGAUGUUCUGGGCCGUACGCGCGCUACACUGACGGAGGCAGCGAGCGUGUCCUUCGCCGGCAGGUGCGGGCAAUCUUGCGAGUCUCCGUCGUGCUGGGGAUAGAUGGUUGCAAUUGUCGAUCUUGAACGAGGAAUUCCUAGUAAGCGCGAGUCAUCAGCUCGCGCUGAUUACGUCCCUGCCCUUUGUACACACCGCCCGUCGCUACUACAGAGUGCCCGUGUCCAAGAAACGGUCGGACCUGUGCGGCCUCUCCGGGCGACCGGAGGGCCGUUACGGGGAAGACCCUUUAUUUGACGCGGGUCGAUGAAGUAAAAGUCGUAACA
rnacentral:rRNA from 1 species